rnacentral:rRNA from 1 species
GACAGAGGGGGCAAGCGUUGCUCGGAAUUACUGGGCGUAAAGCGCACGUAGGCGGCUUUGUAAGUUAGAGGUGAAAGCCCGGGGCUCAACCCCGGAAUUGCCUUUAAGACUGCAUCGCUAGAAUUGUGGAGAGGUAAGUGGAAUUCCGAGUGUAGAGGUGAAAUUCGUAGAUAUUCGGAAGAACACCAGUGGCGAAGGCGACUUACUGGACACAUAUUGACGCUGAGGUGCGAAAGCGUGGGGAGCAAACAGG